rnacentral:rRNA from 1 species
GACGAACGCUGGCGGCGUGCCUAAUACAUGCAAGUUGAGCGCUGAAGGUUGGUACUUGUACCAACUGGAUGAGCAGCGAACGGGUGAGUAACGCGUGGGGAAUCUGCCUUUGAGCGGGGGACAACAUUUGGAAACGAAUGCUAAUACCGCAUAAAAACUUUAAACACAAGUUUUAAGUUUGAAAGAUGCAAUUGCAUCACUCAAAGAUGAUCCCGCGUUGUAUUAGCUAGUUGGUGAGGUAAAGGCUCACCAAGGCGAUGAUACAUAGCCGACCUGAGAGGGUGAUCGGCCACAUUGGGACUGAGACACGGCCCAAACUCCUACGGGAGGCAGCAGUAGGGAAUCUUCGGCAAUAGACGAAAGGCUGACCGAGCAACGCCGCGGGAGUGAAGAAGGUUUUCGGAUCGGAAAACUCUGUUGGUAGAGAAGAACGUUGGUGAGAGUGGAAAGCUCAUCAAGUGACGGUAACUACCCAGAAAGGGACGGCUAACUACGUG